AUUGAACGCUGGCGGCAGGCCUAACACAUGCAAGUCGAGCGGAUGACGGGAGCUUGCUCCUUGAUUCAGCGGCGGACGGGCGAGUAAUGCCUAGGAAUCUGCCUGGUAGUGGGGGACAACGUUUCGAAAGGAGCGCUGAUACCGCAUACGUCCUACGGGAGAAAGCAGGGGACCUUCGGGCCUUGCGCUAUCAGAUGAGCCUAGGUCGGAUUAGCUAGUAGGUGAGGUAAUGGCUCACCUAGGCGACGAUCCGUAACUGGUCUGAGAGGAUGAUCAGUCACACUGGAACUGGGACACGGUCCAGACUCCUACGGGAGGCAGCAGUGGGGAAUAUUGGACAAUGGGCGAAAGCCUGAUCCAGCCAUGCCGCGUGUGUGAAGAAGGUCUUCGGAUUGUAAAGCACUUUAAGUUGGGAGGAAGGGCAGUAAGCUAAUACCUUGCUGUUUUGACGUUACCGACAGAAUAAGCACCGGCUAACUCUGUGCCAGCCGCCGCCGUAAUAC
rnacentral:rRNA from 1 species